CAUGAUAAACGAGGGAAUCGUCAUCAUCCCUGUUUGCAAAUGAUCUGAUGAGAAAAUGCUGACAUCUCCAGCAAAAUACAAUAGAACAGAAAGGAUACGUGAUUUGACAUGGAAUGUGGAGUUUGAAAGGAUGUCUGUUUCUAAGGCUUGCAGAAAGGAUGUCUCCAUAUAUUCCUGCCAGACAAAACACUGCUACUCCUGAUACUCCUGCUAGGAAGCAUAUUUCCGUAAAAUAAUUUGCAUCCAGACUUCUACUAUCUUAUGAUAAACUUGUCAGUUCCAAAGGAAAUUUCAGUUCCCC